AGUGAACGCUGGCGGUAGGCCUAACACAUGCAAGUCGAACGGCAACACAGUACGAGCUUGCUCUUACGGGUGGCGAGUGGCGGACGGGUGAGGAAUACAUCGGAAUCUACUUUUUCGUGGGGGUUCACGUAGGUAAACUUACGCUAAUACCGCAUACGCCCCACGGGUGAACACAGGGGCACUUCGGACCUUGCGCGACUGCAUGAGCCGAUGUCGGAUUAGCUAGUUGGUGGGGUAAAGGCCGACCAAGGCGACGAUCCGUAGCUGGUCUGAGAGGAUGAUCAGCCAGACGAGAACUGAGACACGGCCGCGACACCUACGGGGGGAAGCAGUCGGGAAUAUUGGACGAUGGAGGCGAGCCUGAUACAGCCAUACCGCGUAGAUGAAGAAGGAGUUCGGGUUGGAGAGUCCUGUUGUUGGGAAAGAAAAGAAGCAGGUUAAUACCCCGCUAUUCUGACGGUACCCAAAGAAUAAGCACCGGCUAACUUCGUG
rnacentral:rRNA from 1 species